rnacentral:siRNA from 1 species
AUGCCAUUACGCUGAUUGUGGU